GUCCAGGCGGCCAGGACGAAGAGGGCCAGGUAGCGGCGGCGGGCUACUGGCGGCGGCCCGGCAUGGGGACGACGCCAGCGGCGAACGAAGGACGCACUCUCUGCAUGGCCCAUGUCCCGUGACCACGUUUGGACCAAAGACCUGUGUGCUGCAGAACCCCCAGACCAUCAUAUACAGAGCAGACAUUUGCCUAUUCUUCCUGCUAUGUCCAGUCGAGCACCCUGGAUGUGAUGUGAGACAAGCACAGGAAGACUGCUUGGUGAAGAGGGGAGGCAGACAAGCUGAGAGCCCUGAGACCCAAGGAACAACACAGUGCUGACUUCUGCAGGCUUCCUCUGUGCUUCAUACAUCCUGAUGUGGAGCUGAAGAAACUGGCAACUAGAAAUGCCAAGGGAUGCAGAACUCCCCCUGCUCUCUUAAAAAGGGAAAAACUCAAAAGAUCAAGAAAGGUGAACCUCAGCAAGGCAGAAAACUUAAUCAACAACCAUACCCCAGCCAAACAUCACCCUAUUCACAACCACACAGAACACUGAAAAGAGGCAUCCCACACCCCACCUCACGUGGCUUCAGAACAGUCAAGCAGGAAGGCAGGAUUUUCCUUCUCACUGGAUGGGUACCCACCCCGUCCCCUCCUCCCUCAGUGACGUCAGUGAAAAUCAUGUCCGGCACGGACAUUUACCUCAGUCCAUCAGUAACGAAGCAACAGAUUUCUCAUCAGCAACAAGACAGUGGAUUUCCCAUCAGAACCUGUAGAGGCUGGAAACAAGUGGAAGAGCUCUUGAGAGCUAAAAGAAAAGAGCUAUCAACCCAGAAUCUUAUAUCCAACAAUAACAUCCUUUAGGAACAAAGGGACAAUGAAAAACAUUCUCAGACAAGAGAAGGCAGAGAGAAUUUGCUGCCAAGGGAUGUGCUAUGGUUUGGACCUUAGCUUAGGUGUUCUGGAAAGGUCCAUAUGUAAGACAUGGCCUUCAGAGUCUUAGGUUAAUGGUCCAAAGAGGGUGGAAACUUGAUCCAAUUAAGGUGUUUAGAAAUGGGACCUUCAGACAUGAUCUUAUUGGACCAGGUUGUUGGGGCAGGGUCUCCAUGGCUGAAUCAUGGUGAACAUAAAGACGGACCCAGCCAGAUAUGUGUUCUUUCUAGCCAUGUGAUACCUGGGGACAGUACCAGCAAGAAUGCCAUCACCAGACACCAAAACAACAGGGACACCUGAUUUUGGCCUGUGAAAUCUCCAAGACCAUGAGCCAAAAUAAACCUCCUUCCCUCCUAAGUAGCUUGUCUUCAGUAUUUUGUUGCAACCAUAGACAGCUGACUAACACAGAAUAGAUGAAGGAAGCUUUCUAGACACUAAGGAAGCAAUAUAAAGAAGGACUCUUGGAACACUGACAAAGAAAGAACAUGGCAAGCAAUAAUAUGUUUAGGUAUGAUAGCCUUUCCUUUUCCUUUUGAAUUUUCUCAAUUCUGUCUAAUGAUUGAAGCAAAAGUUGCUGUAAGAUUGUCUGAUGUGGCUUCAAAAUAUGUGUAGAUGAAAUAUUUAAGGCAAUUAUGAAUAGGUGAAGGCAAAAUGACAUCUAUGGAGAUAAAACAUCUACAUUCCUUUCAUUAAAACUGAUAAAUGAUGACAAAAGGGACUGUGAUAAACAACCACCUAAAAAUCUAUAGAGAUGCCCUCAAAGACAUGACAGGUAUGUUGAAAUACUAAACAAAAUGUUUAAGUAAUCCAGACAGGGAAAAAAAAGACAGGGAAAAAAUAGAAAAACAAAAGGUAAACCCUAACAUACAUAAUUAUUAUAAAUGUCAUUUAUCUGAAUACAGCAAUCAAAAAACAGAUAUGGGCAGAGUAGGUUAAAACCAUGAACCAACUCUGCUAACACACACACACACUGUACAUGUCAUAACUCACUUUAAAUGAUACAGCAAGUCAAAAGUAAGAGGAUGGAAUAAGAUACAUCACACAUGCAUUAAUUAAAAUAAAGUAAGAUAUAUUAAGAUCAAAUAAAUAGAAAAACAUUUCAAAGCAAAGAAAAUAACCAGAGACAGAGAAGGAAAUUAAGACAAUGACAAAUUAAAUCCACCAAGAUGGCUCAGCAAUCCUAAAUGUAUAUGAACGAAACAACUUAGCUGAAAAAAAUAUGUGAAGCAAAAGUAGAACUGAAAUGAGAAACAGAAAAAUCCACAUUUCAAUAUUCUUCUCUCAACAAGAUCAGAAAAUCAAUAAAAUUAAAAACAAUAGAAAAAAAUCUAUGAAACCAAGAGCUGGUUCUCUGAAAAGAUCUAUGAAUUCAACAAGUAAGACUGACAACAAAAAAGAGAAAACAGAAAUGACCAGUAUCAUAAAGGAAUCAGGGUAUCACUACAGACUGUGUAGACAUCAAAAGAGUGGUGAGAGCACACUACAACCAACUCUACACACAUAAGUGUGUCAACAAAUUGAAACAGAUCACUUCCUCAAAAACCACAACUGUCAUAAUUUACCCAAUAUGACACAGAUAAUUUGGACAGCCCCAUAACUACUAAGGAAAUUGAAUUUAAGACUUAAUACAAAGCUACAGUAAUUAAGGCUGUGGGAGGCUGGCACUGUGCUGCAGGGGGUUAAAGCCCCAGCCUGCAGCACCAGCAUCCCAUAUGGGUGCUGUUCGAAUCUGGCUGCUCCUCUUCUGAUCUAGCUCCCUGUUAACAUGCCUGGGAAAAGCAUCAGAUGAUGGCCCAAGUCCUUGGGCCCCUACACCCAUGUGAGAGACCAGGAAUAAGCUCCUGGCUCCUGGCUCCUGGCUUCAGGUUGUCUCAGCUCUGGCCAUUGUGGAUAUGUGGGGAGUGAGCCAGCAGAUGGAAGACCUCUCUCUCUGUCUGUUUCUAUCUCUCUCUGUCUUUCAAAUAAAGGAAAAAAAAACUGCAGUUCUCGUGAAGUGAUAGACAUUCGAUCAAUGCAACAGAAUACAGAAUCACAGAACAGUACCACACAAAUAUGCCCAUUCAGAUUUUUGGCAAAGGUGUGAAAGCAAUUAAAUGGUGGGAAAAACAGCCAUUUCAACAAAUAAUGCCAUACAGAAUGCCAGUGCUGCAGGUGGAGGACUAGCCUACUGUGCCAUGGCGCCAGUCCCUGUAGUCCUUUAUUUUAAAAAAUGACUCAUUUUUUCUGAUUAUAAAAGUUCAUGUCCAUUGUAGAGAAUUUGUAAACUAUGGAUUAUACAAAGAAGAAAUUCAUAUAUUACAUAAAUACCACAACUCUGAGAACUGGGGCUUUUUCAUGUAUUUCUUUCUGAUGUUCAUGUGUGUGUGUACAUAUUUAAGAAAUGGAAUGAUACUUUUAUAUACUGCUGUUUAGUAUUUCACAUACUAACAUAAAUACUUCCCCAAGACAAUAAAUAUUCCUCAACCACAGAAUCUAUAAUGAUUAUAUAACAUUUCAUUGUGGGGCUACCUCACAAUUUAAUUAGUGUCCUACAAUUGGACAUUCUAUUCUUUCUAAAUUUGUGUUAUCAUUUUAUAACUUUC